CGUAAACGAUGAACACUAGGUGUCGGGGGAAUCGACCCCUUCGGUGUCGUAGCUAACGCGUUAAGUGUUCCGCCUGGGGAGUACGCACGCAAGUGUGAAACUCAAAGGAAUUGACGGGGGCCCGCACAAGCGGUGGAGUAUGUGGUUUAAUUCGAUGCAACGCGAAGAACCUUACCAGGGUUUGACAUCCUGCGAACCUCUUAGAAAUUUGAGGGUGCCUUCGGGAAUGCAGUGACAGGUGGUGCAUGGCUGUCGUCAGCUCGUGUCGUGAGAUGUUGGGUUAAGUCCCGCAACGAGCGCAACCCACGUUUUUAGUUGCCAGCAUUUAGUUGGGCACUCUAGAAAGACCGCCGGUGAUAAACCGGAGGAAGGUGUGGAUGACGUCAAGUCAUCAUGCCCCUUACACCCUGGGCUACACACGUACUACAAUGCUACGGACAAAGGGCAGCAAACUCGCGAGGGCUAGCAAAUCCCAUAAACCGUGGCUCAGUUCAGAUCGUAGGCUGCAACUCGCCUACGUGAAGUAGGAAUCGCUAGUAAUCGCAGGUCAGCAUACUGCGGUGAAUACGUUCCCGGGCCUUGUACACAC
rnacentral:rRNA from 1 species